AAUAUUGGACAAUGGGGGCAACCCUGAUCCAGCCAUGCCGCGUGUGUGAAGAAGGUCUUCGGAUUGUAAAGCACUUUAAGUUGGGAGGAAGGGCUUUAGGCUAAUACCCUGAAGUUUUGACGUUACCACCAGAAUAAGCACCGGCUAACUCUGUGCCAGCAGCCGCGGUAAUACAGAGGGUGCAAGCGUUAAACGGAAUUACUGGGGGUAAAGCGCGCGUAGGUGGGUUAUGAAAAUGGGUGUGAAAUCCCCGGGCUUAACCUGGGAACUGCUUUCAUAACUGCUGAGCUAGAGUACGGUGGAGGGUAGUGGAAUUUCCUGUGUAGCGGUGAAAUGCGUAGAUAUAGGAAGGAACACCAGUGGCGAAGGCGACUACCUGGACUGAUACUGACACUGAGGUGCGAAAGCGUGGGGAGCAAAC
rnacentral:rRNA from 1 species